rnacentral:rRNA from 1 species
UCGGCUGGGGAUGGGCCCGCGGCCUAUCAGCUUGUUGGUGGGGUAGUGGCCUACCAAGGCGACGACGGGUAGCCGGCCUGAGAGGGUGACCGGCCACACUGGGACUGAGACACGGCCCAG